CACCAGGAAGCUGUAAGGGUCCAGCAUUAGCCUUUUAAGCUAAAAGUUGGCGGCUCCCGACCGCCCCUCGUGA
rnacentral:tRNA from 2 species